AUUGAACGCUGGCGGCAUGCCUUACACAUGCAAGUCGAACGGCAGCACGGGAGCAAUCCUGGUGGCGAGUGGCGAACGGGUGAGUAAAGUAUCGGAACGUACCUUUCAGUGGGGGAUAACGUAGCGAAAGUUACGCUAAUACCGCAUAUUCUGUGAGCAGGAAAGCAGGGGAUCGCAAGACCUUGCGCUGAUGGAGCGGCCGAUAUCAGAUUAGCUAGUUGGCGGGGUAAAGGCCCACCAAGGCGACGAUCGAUAGCUGGUCUGAGAGGAUGAUCAGCCACACUGGAACUGAGACACGGUCCAGACUCCUACGGGAGGCAGCAGUAGGGAAUAUUGGACAAUGGGGGCGAACCCUGAUCCAGCCAUGCCGCGUGAGUGAAGAAGGCCCUCCGGUUGUAAAGCUCUUUUGUUCCGGAAAGAAAAGACAUCUGGUUAA
rnacentral:rRNA from 1 species